UCCAAUGGAAGUUAAGGAUUUAAUGUGAUGUUAUAUGGAAGUGGAGGACUUGAAUGCAAAUGAGGGCAUUAGUGGAUUACAAUUGUCAGAUGCUCAACUAUUUAGCCAUUUUCAAUUGAUAUAUACCUACAAAAAUCUGGAAACGGGGCAGAGAAGCUGGAAAAAUUGAGAAGAAAGAAAGAAAAGAGAAAGGAAAGAGAGAAAGAAGAAAAGAAAGAAAGGAAAAAGGAAAAGGAAAAGGAAAAAAGGUAGGUUGGCUAUUCCAAUUUCAUCUUCAAUUUGACAAAUUUUUUAGUAUGUUUUAUGCUUAAUUUUUUUAGGGUUGCGAUUUAUUGGUUUAAUUUCCAGAUUGAAGGAAGAGAUAUGUUUGUAAGCCAAUAUUUUUGAAUUGGGAAGGCUACUUUUAAUAGGAGAUGACGAGAAGAUUGAAAUCAUGAUCAAUCCAUAACUUGAUAGUAGCGGAGUUCAGCAGUCUUGGAGCCUGUCAGUUCUCCUAAUUGAGCCACACGUCAGUAGUUUUAUAGCCUACUUUAUCAGAUUAUUAUUUGAUAUCUUUAGUAUGUUUGGGGACCUUUGGUUGUAAAGUUAUUAUCGAUUUGCUAGUAUUCUAUUUGAACAAUUUGGAUUUUGAGGGGCUGGUGUACCUUGUUUUAUAUUAUAUGUAUUGAUUUGAGGAAAAUUGGUAAUUGUUUAGGUGGUUUUAGUUCGUAUUUCAGGGGAAACUCCGUUAAAAUUCUGUUAAAAAUAUUUCUCAAUCAAGCAAGUCAAGGUUGCCUUGAUGGUGGGUCCGACAUUCAGUUGGUAUCUACCAUCGACACACAACACGUGUCGAGUCCACUAAGAUGAUUCGGGACAGAUUGUGUUAAUUGGUAUCAGAGCAUGGUUCAGUGGUUGUUAAGCUCGAGUAAUUAAUGAGUUUCUUUUUCUGAAUAGUAUGUCAUUGAAAUUAUUAGCCAUGGCAUGGUGGCAGAACUCACAGGCUCCAAUGUGGUAUUUGAAACUCAUAUUGCCCUUGAUAACGAAGUUAUGGUAGCUAAGAAACUAAAAGGAUCUUUAUUUAUUUGGGCAUAAUAAAUAUGCGGAUGUUAUUGAGAAUUAUCCGAUGGUAAUGAGAGUUGUUAGAGUUGUCAUGUUGGCACCAUGUUAAAUUUUCUCUAAUAUAUUAAUAA